rnacentral:rRNA from 1 species
UACGGAGGGUGCGAGCGUUGUUCGGAUUCAUUGGGCGUAAGGGUGCGUAGGUGGCGCUGUAAGUCGGGUGUGAAAUUUCGGAGCUUAACUCCGAACUGCAUUCGAUACUGCGGUGCUUGAGGACUGGAGAGGAGACUGGAAUUCAUGGUGUAGCAGUGAAAUGCGUAGAGAUCAUGAGGAAGACCAGUGGCGAAGGCGGGUCUCUGGACAGUCCUGACACUGAGGCACGAAGGCCAGGGAGCAAACGGG